GGGGCUAAACCAUGCACCGAAGCUGCGGCAGCGACGCUUAUGCGUUGUUGGGUAGGGGAGCGUUCUGUAAGCCUGCGAAGGUGGCCUGUGAGGGUUGCUGGAGGUAUCAGAAGUGCGAAUGCUGACAUAAGUAACGAUAAAGCGGGUGAAAAGCCCGCUCGCCGGAAGACCAAGGGUUCCUGUCCAACGUUAAUCGGGGCAGGGUGAGUCGACCCCUAAGGCGAGGCCGAAAGGCGUAGUCGAUGGGAAACGGGUUAAUAUUCCCGUACUUGGUGUUACUGCGAAGGGGGGACGGAGAAGGCUAUGUUGGCCGGGCGACGGUUGUCCCGGUUUAAGCGUGUAGGUGUGUGUUCCAGGUAAAUCCGGUUCACUUUAACACUGAGGCGUGACGACGAGGCACUACGGUGCUGAAGCAACAAAUGCCCUGCUUCCAGGAAAAGCCUCUAAGCAUCAGGUAACAUCAAAUCGUACCCCAAACCGACACAGGUGGUCAGGUAGAGAAUACCAAGGCGCUUGAGAGAACUCGGGUGAAGGAACUAGGCAAAAUGGUGCCGUAACUUCGGGAGAAGGCACGCUGACACGUAGGUGAAGUGAUUUACUCAUGGAGCUGAAGUCAGUCGAAGAUACCAGCUGGCUGCAACUGUUUAUUAAAAACACAGCACUGUGCAAACACGAAAGUGGACGUAUACGGUGUGACGCCUGCCCGGUGCCGGAAGGUUAAUUGAUGGGGUCAGCGCAAGCGAAGCUCCUGAUCGAAGCCCCGGUAAACGGCGGCCGUAACUAUAACGGUCCUAAGGUAGCGAAAUUCCUUGUCGGGUAAGUUCCGACCUGCACGAAUGGCGUAAUGAUGGCCAGGCUGUCUCCACCCGAGACUCAGUGAAAUUGAACUCGCUGUGAAGAUGCAGUGUACCCGCGGCAAGACGGAAAGACCCCGUGAACCUUUACUAUAGCUUGACACUGAACAUUGAGCCUUGAUGUGUAGGAUAGGUGGGAGGCUUUGAAGUGUGGACGCCAGUCUGCAUGGAGCCGACCUUGAAAUACCACCCUUUAAUGUUUGAUGUUCUAACGUGGACCCGUUACCCGGGUUGCGGACAGUGUCUGGUGGGUAGUUUGACUGGGGCGGUCUCCUCCUAAAGAGUAACGGAGGAGCACGAAGGUUGGCUAAUCCUGGUCGGACAUCAGGAGGUUAGUGCAAUGGCAUAAGCCAGCUUGACUGCGAGCGUGACGGCGCGAGCAGGUGCGAAAGCAGGUCAUAGUGAUCCGGUGGUUCUGAAUGGAAGGGCCAUCGCUCAACGGAUAAAAGGUACUCCGGGGAUAACAGGCUGAUACCGCCCAAGAGUUCAUAUCGACGGCGGUGUUUGGCACCUCGAUGUCGGCUCAUCACAUCCUGGGGCUGAAGUAGGUCCCAAGGGUAUGGCUGUUCGCCAUUUAAAGUGGUACGCGAGCUGGGUUUAGAACGUCGUGAGACAGUUCGGUCCCUAUCUGCCGUGGGCGCUGGAGAACUGAGGGGGGCUGCUCCUAGUACGAGAGGACCGGAGUGGACGCAUCACUGGUGUUCGGGUUGUCAUGCCAAUGGCACUGCCCGGUAGCUAAAUGCGGAAGAGAUAAGUGCUGAAAGCAUCUAAGCACGAAACUUGCCCCGAG
rnacentral:rRNA from 1 species